GAAUCCUUCUCCAGUCACUUACCUCCUUUCUUGGGACCUAAGGGUUUCUUUGGGCGCUGCUUCUGCUUCUUAGCGCCCGCUGGAAGCUUGGUCUUCACUUUCAGCUUUCCCUGCGCCAUGCUGCUCAGACGAAUUCCAAAGAGGAAUCAGUCCACCUUAUAAGAGAGCACUCCCCGUUUGAGUAAGUGGUAGAGUUCUAUGACCCUCCAUUGACCCAACAUGGCGGCGGUAGAAGAAACAACAAAUCCGGAUGUGUCUGCAGAAAACAUCGCGCCAGUCGCUAAAGUCCAGCUCACCUGGCGUGACAGACUCAAGUCUAUAUGCACAUGGAGAGUCCUCAAGAUGGUGCUGCUGGGCCAGUCCCUGUCAGUGUUGAUCUGUGGAACAUCUGUCACAAGUACCCUGCUGGAGGCUAAGUACAAAGUCAGCACACCAACAGCACAGAGCUUCCUCAACUAUAUACUACUGGCACUGGUCUUCAGUAUACCACUAGGUCAGGAAUUGUAUAGUAAGAUGUAUUAUGUGCCCACUAUGGUACAUACAUGCAACAUUUUUUUGGUGAGUACAGUAGAAGCCGUUUAAUUGCACUGCCUAUUUGCCAGCAUGUUUCUUGCAACUAUCCGGCUGGUGCAAUAAUGCAAAGUUA